rnacentral:lncRNA from 1 species
UCACCAGUGUUCCGACAUUAGUGGUGUGUGUGUGUGUCUUGUGGCGAGUCAGCUGUCUCCUCUCUAAUUAUCAUCAUCACUGCUUCCCUUUAUCGCCUCCUUCACCCAGCGUCCCGAAGGUAGUGGUGUGUGUGUGUGUGUGUGUGUGUGUGUGUGUGUGUGUGUUGCGUCUUGCACAUGUAUGAAUCUGCGUCUCCCAAGUGCCUGGAGAGAGAAUCCAAACAGACGAGCAUCAGCAGAUGUUCGGAUGUUACACAAACAACAUGUUCAGACCACGUUCGGUCUUUAAUGAUGAGUGUGUUUAUUCAUUUACUAGCACGAGAGGUUUUAAAACACUUGACUCCUCGCAGUGCGAGCGUUAAACUGUUCAUCUGCUCUUUUGGAGCAGCGUUCGUUCACUUCAGAUGAGUCUGAAUCGGAUCAGUUUUAUCAUUUUAAACUGAACAAACUGGUCUGCGCGUCGUUCUUUACAACAAAUGACAUUUAUUUUGAUAUUUUCUCAUCUCUUUUAGUGGCAUUCAGACAUUUUGAAUGUGUUUUAGGACCUCUCAGGAACGUUGUAUUUACUCAUAAACAUCAUCUCGGUCUUUUCUGAACAAACUCAGAUCCAUAUUAACCUGAUAAUCACACUGAGCACAAUGAGUGUUAUACAGAUGUCUUUUAAAAUAAUAAUAAAUGGCAUUAAAAGCAUUUUAAAUGUUAUCCAACAUCCUAGAGGCCUAAUAAAGGACUGAGAUUCGUUUGAGUCGACUCAGAGAUUCGGUUCUCGAGUCACAGAUGAUCUGCUUGUUCAGUGGAGUUUCAGUUCUGGAAUCUCUCUGUGUUUGAGUGCAGAAUUGCUGUGUGUCUUGAUGUUUCGCAGCAGAAUCGCUGAGAGGAUUCAUUGUGGAGUUCGUCACACAGUGAUUCGUGUUCCAGUGAUUCAUUGUUGCUGUUCUAAACUGAAUCGAUCAAAUCUCUCACUGAAGUGACUCGUUUGGAAGCACCUGACUGUUGUUCAUAAAUUAAAAAGUUGUGUGCCAAAUGAAUGUCUAUUAAACUAAUGACGUUAUAAUCGAGCUUUUUAUUCAUAUUUUCUUGCUGAUGUGAGGGAGGUGUGUGUGUUUCAGUCAUAGUGUCCUCUAGAUGGCAGCAUAAAGCAGCAGAUAGAGCUCUCUUCUGAUUUGAGAAGAAUUACCUUGCAUUAAAAUAUGAAAAUAGAAUCUAGGGUUACAAAAAAGCCAUUUUCCAUGACAUACAGCUGAUUAAAAACGAAUAAUGUAUAAUAGCUUGAAAUAGCAACCUCUAUAUAACACCGUGUAGCGCUUGUACUGAACUUCUCAGUUUAUUUAAACAUGUUUAUUUAUAUAACAAGUUGCUUUACACAAAAGCAUUUAAAAAAAUGCAUAAGAAAUAAAAAACAAAAAGUAAGAAACUAUAUAAUGUAUUUAAAUUAUAUAUACAGUACAGACCAAAAGUUUGGAAACAUUACUAUUUUUAAUGUUUUUGAAAAGUUUCUUCUGCUCAUCAAGCCUGCAUUUAUUUGAUCAAAAAUACAGAAAAAACAGUAAUAUUGUGAAAUAUUAUUACAACUUAAAAUAAUAGUUUUCUAUUUAAAUAUAUACUUUAAAAAAAUAAUUUAUUCCUGUGAUGCAAAGCUGAAUUUUCAGCAUCAUUACUCCAGCCUUCAGUGUCACAUGUAACAUCCAGUCUAUCACAUGAUCAUUUAGAAAUCAUUCUAAUAUUCUAGUAUUUAUUAUGAGUUGUUAGGAAACAAGUAA